ACGUAAGGAGACAAACGAUUAUUCCGGAGUACUGGGCGUAAAGGGCGUGUAGGUGGUUUCGUAAGUCUGGCGUGAAAUUUUUCGGCUUAACCGGGAAAGGUUGUCGGAUACUGCGGGACUGGAGGACGGUAGAGGCGUGUGGAAUUCCGGGUGUAGUGGUGAAAUGCGUAGAGAUCCGGAGGAACACCAGUGGCGAAGGCGACUACCUGGCCUGUUCUUGACGCUGAGGCGCGAAAGCUAGGGGAGCAAACGGG
rnacentral:rRNA from 1 species